CCUACGGGAGACAGCAGUGGGGGAUAUUGCACAAUGGGGGGAACCCUGAUGCAGCGACGCCGCGUGGGUGAAGGAGUGCUUCGGCAUGUAAAGCACUAUCGGCAGGGAAGAAGCAAGACGGUACCUGACUAAGAAGCCCCGGCUAACUACGUGCCAGCAGCCGCGGUAAUACGUAGGGGGCGAGCGUUAUCCGGAUUCCCUGGGUGUAACGGGAGCGUAGACGGCCAAGCAAGCCAGGGGUGAAAGCGCGGGGCGCAACCCCGGGACUGCCCUUGGAACUUCAUGGCUGGAGUGCGGGAGGGGCAGGCGGAAUUCCUGGUGUAGCGGUGAAAUGCGUAGAUAUCAGGAGGAACACCGGCGGCGAAGGCGGCCUGCUGGACCGCGACUGACGUUGAGGCUCGAAAGCGUGGGGAGCGAACAGGAUUAGAUACCCUUGUAGUC
rnacentral:rRNA from 1 species